UUCGUAUAAUUGGUGCAUGCCGGAAAAUCUAUUUUCCAGAAUUGUUGACCGUAUUGAAUAUUUCGGUAAUUGUACAGAUUUUUAGGUUGCCAUGUGAGUUGCAGAAUGAGCUACACAUCCAUGACUCCAUGGAAUUCAAUGACGUCGUGGUCUAUGGCAACACCAAGUAAAACCACUUAUUAUUGCUAAGCGACCUGCCGCUGUACAGACGACUAGUUACUAUGGUGAUGGUUUCUGCGAAACUGCGCCUAAUAAUUCACACUUUUUCAUCACGCGAAUGGUUGAACAAAAAUAUGAUUAGUAUCUGAAAUCAACAAUGCCUAGAAGCGGAAGAGGAAAGUGUUUGUACUAUCAAAGACAAUGGAAGGAAGGGUAAGGCCCGUAAGGUGCGAUGUUCUGUAAAGGAGUACCGAGACCUCGUGAGGUCUAUAGACUCACUACAAGGCAAUAGACCCAGCAUCAUUCAACAGGAGGAGCAUGAAGCCAGAAUCAUUCAACAGGAGGAGCAAGAACCCAGUGUAACCUUUCCACUUGAAACCAAUGAAUCUGAGGUGGCAGAACCUAUAGCAGCCACAAAAAAAGGGCAGUAAACGAGGCAGAAGGAUGGAGAAAAAUACGAUCUGAUCUGGCUGUUGCCCGGAUGGAAGGAUUUUGUCCUGCUUCAAACCAAUGUUCCUCAUGUGGCUCUUCUGAGGUUCCCGAAAUCAUAUGGUGUCCUGACUGUGGACCCAACACUCUGUAUUGCAUGAUGUGUAAUGAGAAUAUCCACCGCAUGGUAAUGUACCAUCAGGCGUAUGUAUGGAAAAAUGAUGUUUAUAUGUUUGUGCCCCUUAUUAAAGAAACAACCCUCAUCCAUGAACACUCAUGUGACAGCAUAUACUCUCGUCAAAUAAGAGUUUUUGAUGCAUUGGGGAGACAGCAUAAAGUAAAAUCCCAUUUCUGCCAGUGUGAGCCAGAAGCUGUUACCUUAGUUAGAAGGGGAUUAUGGCCAGCAACACCCAAACAGCCAGAAACAGCCAGAAACAGCCUUCACGAUAACACUGAUGGAGCUAGGGCGAAUGCUACAGCUUGAAGGUCAAUUAUCUCUGCAAAAGUUUUGCUUUGCCUUAAAAAGAAGAACUACUUUCCUACCUCCUCACACAACUGACUGCAGAGACCUCUACCUGGCACUGGGAAACGCACUAACUGAAUUCCAUCAUCAUCAAGUGUCGUGCCUUGAGAUGGCACAUUCUCCAGACAUUGUGGGCAAGAACUGCCCAGUAUGUACAUUGGUAUGUGUACUCCUGAACUGUCGGCUAGAUGUCUGUAUUAGUGCCAAUUAGUCAUUGCUUAAACAGGAUUUAUUACACAUUUCUUUGCAUUUAGGUUUCAACUGCUUUGCUAGCUACAAGAUUUUUUUCAAUCAUUAUGGGUUUAGAUUUUUAGUAAGGCAGACAUUUGUUUAAAAUAAAUCAUUAAAGCAGGAUUUAGGGAAAUGUAAAAAAGAAAAAAAAAGGUAGAUACUGAUCAUUAUGUUCAAUUAACUGUUUUAAGUGGCUCAGUAGUGCUGGCCCCGUCAAAGCAUUUAUCUCAGUUCACAUCUACACACUGUCUGGUUUUAUCUUCUCCUCUCUCUCUGGUUGUACAUUCCUCUAACCAGACUUCUGCCACUAUAUUUGCUAGAAUUCUAUGCUGACUGCCUUCAAAGCAUUAGUAAAACAUACAUUUUUUUUGCUUCCAUAUGUGGGUGUGGGUGUGGGUGGAUGUUGCUCAUGUGUUUAACAGUUUCGCAAAAUUAUGCAUCAUGAAUGCCUGUAGCAAGAACUGGUGCUUUACAGAUACAUUUAUGAUUAUAUCAAGAUUACCAUUUAAUGAUAUAUUUAUGGUAGAAACCUGAAAGGUCUGUCGUCUCUCAGUAUGCAAGAUUUACAGUCUUUAGUCCAGAUGACAGUGUCAGGGACUUCGUUAAUAAUCACUGCCAAGCAGUUUCAAAAUCUGUCCCUGAAUCAUCAGAGUGCUCAGACUUUCAGGCUGGUGACAUGGUUAGGGCUAAAAAUUAAAGUGCAAAUCUGGAUAUAAAAGGAGUGUUUGGCUCUGUGUGUCACCAUGGAUUUCCCCUCUAUUUUGUGAACAUGGAGCAUGGCGAAAGAUUUGCAUAUCCAGUCUAUAUUAUGAAGCAGAUUGCUUCAAGGCAGGUUGGUGCUACAAAUGAAAAGCAGAUUGUCAUGUAUGAUAUUGCCUGUAGACUGCAAGCUCAUCUUGGGCAUUCCAAGCGAAAUUACUACUCUUCAUUCAGCAGGCGGGAAGGAUGGAGCUUGUCCACUUCCCAACGUGUGCAUCUCUACGUCAGGAUCAGCAGCAACAAAUGUCUUUCCCCAAAGAAAGAAUGAUAGAACUUUUGGGGCUCUUGAAGGAUAAUUUCAGUGAAAGAUUUAAGGAUUUUCAUGAUUUGAAGGAUGAAAUACGUCUCUUCAAAAAUCCAUUUGCGGCAGAUGUGUCAA